GGGUCAGUAGGUUGGUCGUGCCACCGGUACGUACUGGUCUCACUGAUUCCUCCUUCCUGAAGAACCGUAAUGCCAUUAAUUUGGUGUUGCGGGGAAACAGGACUGUUACUUUGAAAAAAUUAGAGUGUUUAAAGCAAACUAACGCUUGAAUACAUUAGCAUGGAAUAAUGAAAUAGGACGAUCGAUCAUAUGUUGUUGGUUUCUAGGAUUGACGUA
rnacentral:rRNA from 1 species